UACGUAGGGUGCGAGCGUUGUCCGGAAUUACUGGGCGUAAAGAGCUCGUAGGUGGUUUGUCGCGUUGUUCGUGAAAACUCACAGCUUAACUGUGGGCGUGCGGGCGAUACGGGCAGACUGGAGUACUGCAGGGGAGACUGGAAUUCCUGGUGUAGCGGUGAAAUGCGCAGAUAUCAGGAGGAACACCGGUGGCGAAGGCGGGUCUCUGGGCCGAUACUGACGCUGAGGAGCGAAAGCGUGGGGAGCAAACAGG
rnacentral:rRNA from 1 species